rnacentral:lncRNA from 1 species
AAAUGAACAUAGUUUAUUGAAGUUUACUGACCCCCAGUAGAAGUUUACUGGGGGGCAGUAAACUUCAACUGAGUUUACUAUGGUUCAAUGAAGUUGUUUAUCAGGGUAAAAAUGGGUAUAUGUUGGAUAUAAUUGGCAUGAUUAUGAAAUGGACAUAGUGUAUUGAAGUUUACUGACCCCUAGUAGAAGUUUACUGGGAGACUUUUUUUUUUUUGCAUAUGCAGUUUAUAAAUGCAAGUUUUUACUACUUAUAUGCAGGAUGGGAAAAAGUUCAAGACAUUUAGUUCUAGGAUUCAGUUCAAGAAUAUAUGUAGCUUCUAUCAGGACAGAAAAAAAUAUAUGAGAAGUUUUACAGAAGAUAAAGUCGAAGAAAAAGAGAACAGUAGUCCAAAAGGGUGCCGCUGCUGAAGAAGAAGAAGAAGCAGAACUGGUAGAAGAAGAAGAUGAUGAUUACACUGAAGAUGAAGAGAGGGAAAUAAAAAAGUAUCUUUUUCAGAAAAGAUCAACAGGCAGAGAAAGAAAACAAGCGGAGACAGAUUCAGGGGAGGAGGAGGAGGAAGAAAAGGGAAGAAAGACGAAGGAAAAAGGAGGAGAAGGUGACUUGACCAAGAUCAAACACGUGCAACAAAAGUGCUCACUGACAUCAUUUUGUGUGUUAAUGAAUAGAUACAAGGAGACCAUCCCAGAAGAAUCAUGAGAGUUGAUAAACAGCACUUGUUUUCGGGGAAUAAUUGAAGCAUUCAGAUUGGGCAAGGUUGAGGAGGAUCAAGUGAAGAAGCUUGAAUCUGAUUUUGAGAUCCUAAUGAGGCACUACAACAGUGACAAUAAAAACUUCUUAUUUGGGAACAGGGAGAUUAAAAUUACGGAGCAUGAUGUUCAUUCAAUUUUUGGAAUAACCAAAGAAGGCUCGGAUGUGGAUAUCACAAUAGACCAGAAAUACUGCAAGGGCAGUAAGAAAAAUUUGGCAGAUUCUGUUGUCUUUGGAAAGCAAACAAGAAGAACAAUCACCAGAAAAGUUAUUGAUGACACAUUAAUGGAAGAGCUUAGGAAGAUUCAAAAGAAGAAGGGGGAUCCAUGGAAGAUAGCCUCUUUGGUUAUAAUGUACCUUAUGGUAGCUUUAUUUUUCAGCAGAAGCGGGAACCACAUUGAAUGGAAACUGAUACUCAAGUGUGAAGACCUUGAAAGCAUCGACAAAUACAACUGGUCACAUAAGGUAUUAGAAUUCUUACACCAAGGACUUCACAAGCACGUAAAGGGGG